AUUGAACGCUGGCGGAAUGCUUUACACAUGCAAGUCGAACGGCAGCACGGGGGCAGCCCUGGUGGCGAGUGGCGAACGGGUGAGUAAUACAUCGGAACGUGCCCGGUCGUGGGGGAUAACGUAGCGAAAGGUACGCUAAUACCGCAUACGAUCUGAGGAUGAAAGCGGGGGACCUUCGGGCCUCGCGCGAUCGGAGCGGCCGAUGUCAGAUUAGGUAGUUGGUGGGGUAAAGGCCUACCAAGCCGACGAUCUGUAGCUGGUCUGAGAGGACGACCAGCCACACUGGGACUGGGACACGGCCCAGACUCCUACGGGAGGCAGCAGUGGGGAAUUUUGGACAAUGGGCGCAAGCCUGAUCCAGCCAUUCCGCGUGCAGGACGAAGGCCUUCGGGUUGUAAACUGCUUUUGUACGGAACGAAAAGGCUCUGGCUAAUACCUGGGGCUCAUGACGGUACCGUAAGAAUAAGCACCGGCUAACUACGUG
rnacentral:rRNA from 1 species